UACUUAAUCUUAGAAGCCAGGGU
rnacentral:piRNA from 1 species